ACAAACUUCCCUAAAAAUAAUUACUUUUAAAGUUACACGGAUUUAAAGAUUUGGUUGUAAAUUCUGAAGAGUUAAGCUAAUGUAAGCUAUGUAACUUUGAAGCUGAAUAUUUUAAAUGAAAUCUGGAAAACCAAGACAUAGAUAUUAGUUUCUAGAACGUAUCUACACUUUGAGUUUAAUUGGUUAGCAUUCAAAUGAGAGCCAAACUACAUUUGUUUGGAACACACUACGUAUAAACAAACCCCUUUUAAACUUGUAACAAAAAAGCUAUAACCGUUUCAGAUUGAUCUGUUCUGCCCACUGAUUUCAUAUCAUUACCUUAACUACAGAACAUUUAAUUCAGAAUUUCAUCAACUUACCAAUAACGUAUAUUUUAUACCCAAUAUUUAAAAAAAUCAUAUUUUUCAUUUUCCUCGCGGCUAGUCUCAUUAAAUUCCUUCAACAACGAUUAAUUCCCGGAACCUUUAACGAGAUGACAGCGCAAGUCGCGCAUAAGAAAUGUCCAAAUGGAGUCACCUUAAAAUCUCUUAAUUUGUCCAGCAAAUAGCGACACAGUGACGCUGAUCUUACGAAUAUUGGCCUUAUGAAGUACUCGCUAUAAGCUCGAUUAUCUCUUAUUCCUGAACGACGGUCAAGCUAAUUACGGCCUGAGCCGGUAUUUUAAGCGAAUUUUGCAAACGUGAAAUUCAAAAAAAAUAUAUCGGUGCACUCACAGGAAUCAACGAUCGGAUCAAAAACCGCUUUAAGCCGAAUUCAAUAUCCACAGAGAGAAUUUAUUGAAUGGGUGCUAAUUAUAAAUUAUUUCACUUAAAAUGUUACACGCGAAUGACGCAUGAGUUAAACUCGAUAUCCUCGAUGAGAGCAAUAAAAGAAAAGAUGUUACGUAAAUUUCGAUAAAUCUCAAAACAAUAACAAGUAUACAAUUUCAAAAUCGAGAUCCGAAGCCGAUAGAGAAACAAAAACUAGAACAAUAGCUUUAGAGAGGCGCUCAUUAACCGAGCCAAGGAACAGCGGAGCGAGCGAUGAUGUUGUAGUUAAUCCUUAAACCACACGCGGUGACGAUUACAACGCACCUAUUAGUCAAAUUAGCUUUAUUGUUAAAUCACGCGAGACUUGAGCAAUCGGCUUAUGCGCCGACAAUUAUGCCACACAAUACGAUGAGUCAACAAAAAUUGCCCAUGCGUUUAUCAAAACAAUGGUAUUGAUAAGUUAAUAUAGGAGGUGCGAGACACAUAACGAGCGAUGUCUAGAAUGGCUGCGUCUCGGACGAGCCGAGUGGAAUACUUUAUAGCGUGAGUCACCCGGUGGAAACGCCAUUGUAGACAACUGAAAAAAGGAAAAAUUUACUACUCGCAUCGAUAAGACGUAUACUGGCGACGUUUUUUUUAAUUGAUCCAUACGUGCUGCGAAUAUCCACAAUAUACGCGACGUGCGAAAGACGCUUCGAGCUGAAAGUGAAACUUUAAAAGUACUUACGAAACAUGGUCAGAGGGAAGAAUGCGAGAUUAGAUCUGCUCCGAGAGAGGGCAAUGACCGAAUUCCGCAUUUAUACCGCUAAUUCAUGCACAAGAGUAUCUGCAUCCUAUGUGGCCGAGUACAAGCGCUGAGUCGACUAAUACCAUUUAUAUUCACACCAGAUUGCGGACAUGGCACGAGAAGAAUAUUUAAACAAUCAAAUUUAUGCGACUAACUUAACUAUUAUGACAGGAGAAAACGAGCGCGCGGAAAGUGAAGAAACAAGCAAAGAACAUGACCUACAUUGAUGUUUAGAAAUAUGAAGUCAAAAAAUCAAAGUCACGGAAGGGCGUCUUAUCUAUGGAAAUCAUAAUUACUGCGUGAAUGUUUCAAUCGGAUGGAACUUAUCGACAAUGCGUUACUUAUUGUCGAGCGUUCAUGUUCCCGCGGACAUGUUAUUCUCAAAAGGACCCACCUGAGUAAGAGAGAUUUUUAUCGGCGCGAGCCCGAAUCGAGAGAACGGACGUAAUCGAUUUCAACAUAAUAUCAAAGCUGACAAGUGAUAUUCGAGGUCGGAGGCGAAGCGGUGGGCGCCGGAUGACUCCGAAAUAAAAACACUAUGCAAAUGAACGAGCAUUAAUCGCUCGGUGCAAUCGAAGCUUCGCAGCUACUGCAAAUCGAUGAAUAAACAAAUAGUGCUUAAUUAGUGAUGCGAAAUUUGUUCAGCCGCCUAAUUGAUGAAUUGAUACAAAGCUCAAAGAUACAAAUAAAACCAAUACAUCCACCAAGUCAAACGCUUGGACAGUGGACUGCAGUUUUUCUAAACUUUUUAUGUCAAUCAAUCCAUCAAUCAAUUCAAUUGAUUAAUGAUCUGAUUGAUCGACAUAUUCGGAUUAAGUUAGAAAAGCAAUUGCGGUGGUGUCGUUUUAUUUUGUAUAUUAAUAUUAAUAAGGUCGGUAAUGAGCGGUGAAAGGAUACUGUUGCAUCCUUAGUUCAAAAUAUUUCAUUUCGAUCUCCUCAAUGUAUUAAUUAUUAAGUUAACUAAUGUCCAAUGAGUACUCAUUGAUAUAUUUUAAAUUAAAAGUCUAUGGUUAGCCUAGUUAGUAGUUACUUGUAUUGCACUGAUUGCUAGUGAUUAAAGAACUCCUACUCCUUUGAGGGAUUUCUUCCCAAUUCUGAAGAUAAUAUUUACAUUUUCAACAAAAAAUAGAAAAAAUUUGACAGUAGACGCUUUUGUAACAAAAAAAGACUUAUUAUCUCCCGUAUUUUUACUUCUCGUGAAAUAACUUGUGAAAUGAAUGCAUAAUACGUAACAAAAAGUCGCCUAGCCGAAAGUAAUUUUCAAUCUACUUUAUAAUCCGUAUCACACGUCCAAACGAGGGCUCGGAGCGACAAAGCCCCUUUGAGACCAGCUAGAUCAAACACCUGCUACUGACGGCGUCUUUAUUUUAUUUUGUUUGUAUGUGAGAAAUAAUGGGAAAACGCUCAACGUCUUUAUAACACGGGUACAGUUAAGUGGACGUCACAAUCUCCUAGUAAGGAUAUUUAUGCAGAAAUAUCUUGCUAUACUUCUAAAACACAAUCGUACUUUAAUGAUUUCAAA